rfam:Bombyx mori DNA, contig: Bm_scaf81_contig32888, strain: p50T/Dazao, build 2, whole genome shotgun sequence.
AGAACAUUCGGACCGUCGGUCUGACGAGCAAUAUCACCCGCUCGGUGGAAGAUCUUCCUUCCGUCGU